CUGCAAAUGAGUAAUUGACCUUCCCAGCAGAAGGACAACAGAAUUCUUACAGUGGGUUGGCCUACAGCUCCCCAGCUGUAGGAGCGAGCACUGUGCUUUGGUUAAUGUGACAGGCGUCCCAUAAAUCAUCUGUGCUUAUCAGAGCCCCUGUUGACCAUCUGCUGUUGAACUUCAGGUCAGUGAGCAAUGCUGUGACUUCUCAGGCCAGCACGCUCUUCCAUAGCAUGUGGGAUUGUUUUUCGUGAGCCUGUCAGGAUUUUUGAAGCCUCAACUUUAAAUCAGGGCCCGAGAAAGAAGAGGACAUGUUGGGCUACUAGAGCCCGCUCACUCCAGAGCCCGUGCUCUGCAGCAAGAGGAGCCACUGCCACAAGAAGCCUUACACUGCAACUAGCGAGGAGCUCCUGCUUGCCGCAACUAGAGAGAGCCCUAGAGCAGCAAUGAAGACCAGCAC
ensembl:lncRNA